UUGGAAUCUACAAGAAUGACAGAGACUGA
rnacentral:piRNA from 1 species